rnacentral:tRNA from 1 species
GGUUCAGUAGCUCACUCGGUCGAGCACAGGACUGACAAUCCUUGUGUGGGCGGUUCGGUUGCCGUCCUGAACCA